rnacentral:tRNA from 1 species
GGCUCCGUAGCUCAGUUGGAUGCAGAGCGCCCGGCUACGAACCGGGAGGCCGCAGGUUCGAGUCCUGCCGGAGCCGCUA